UUGCUGUGAUGUAUGAAUUUCUUCACCUGAAUUGCAGACUGAAGAGAAAAAGUACAAGCUUUUUAACCCUGAGCUUU